rnacentral:lncRNA from 1 species
GUGUGUUAUUUGUUUGUGUUUUCUGUAAAUGUGAUACGAGAGAGUGUGAGGGAAGUAUGUUUUGGGAAUAGUACUGUGUGAAUGAGAGUUUUGUGAGUGUAUAAAUAAGUGUUAAUCUUACAUUUGGAUAAAAAGAUAUGUAGCGUUAUCUUGGGGUUCCAUUCAACACUGCCCAUCAUAUAAUAUCACGGUGUGGUAUUAUUAAAUGCUAGAUGUUAUUCUAUAAUUUCUGGAAGACUAGAGAACCGUUGAGAAUUAUUCCCAUAGGGCAGUGUCCGAGAAACGAACGUUUUUGGGUUCCGCUGGGUGUGUAUGGAUGAGGAGUCGUUGGAAAUGGAGUGAUUCAUUAAUAGUUUCCAGUUGUUUUGAAAAUACCAUAAAUCCAGAGAAUGCAAGACUUUGAUGACAAAAUUUACCCACGAAGGACCACCGCACCACCUUCCUUUUCAAAUGAGCACAGCACAACAAGGAAGGCUGUGGGUUGAAGUUACUGGAGUCCACACGGUAUCAGCUGUCUCUGGUUGAAGCGCACCAAAUGAGCUGGCUUCAGAGCCAUGAUCUGCUUCACAAUGCUCUCAUUGAGGGGAAGACACUUGCCAACUGGUCAUAUACUGUACACUGCCAACCAGAAAACACAUACGUGUAGGUUCACACACACUGACAACCAAGAGGUAGAAAGACUCCCAUGCUGAAAGAACUUGUGAUAGCGCUGUGCAUGUUGAAUGAGGAAGAAAUUAUUUUGUCUGAAAAUGGAUACUCCUCCCCACCUUGUGUUUCAAUGUCAUGGACCCGGACAGCCUUGGCGUACUUAACAAGCGGAGAUGUGUAUGUGCACCAUGCAGACUGGCACCCAGAUGACCAAACCGAAAGGAAAUAUGCGGCUGGUCAGGUUCUUCUACCUGGAUGAACACAAGUCCUCAAUCCGCUGGAUGCCCUCCAGGAAGCAUGAUAAGGCUUAAAGUGAGUCACAGAAGGAAUGUUUCAGAUAGGGUUUCAGCCUAUUACUUUGAGGAAUACUCUUGUAUUUCCACUUUGUCUACAUGCAACCAUUUACCAGUCCGAUUCCAUUUGAACACAAUGUGCAAAUGACAAUACUGCAUGUGUGUAUUAGCUACCACCUAAUUACUCAUAUAGAUUAGACCGGUAUGAUAUGUUAUGUUUAGAAUGGUUACAUAAGACAGAAGGUUAGUUAAAGCAGA